rnacentral:rRNA from 1 species
AAGACCUUGCGCUUUUGGAGCGGCCGAUGCCUGAUUAGCUUGUUGGUAAGGUAAAAGCUUACCAAGGCUUCGAUCAGUAGCUGGUCUGUGAGGACGACCAGCCACACUGGGGCUGAGACGCGGCCCAGACUCCUACGGGAGGCAGCAGUGGGGAAUUUUGGACAAUGGGGGCAACCCUGAUCCAGCCAUGCCGCGUGAGUGAAGAAGGCCUUCGGGUUGUAAAGCUCUUUCAGCCGGAACGAAACGGUUACGGUUAACACCCGUGACUACUGACGGUACCGGGAGAAGAAGCACCGGCUAACUACGUGCCAGCAGCCGCGGUAAUACGUAGGGUGCGAGCGUUAAUCGGAAUUACUGGGCGUAAAGCGUGCGCAGGUGGUUUUGUAAGUCAGAUGUGAAAGCCCCGGGCUCAACCUGGGAACU